rnacentral:rRNA from 1 species
UACGUAGGGGGCUAGCGUUGUUCGGAAUUACUGGGCGUAAAGGGCACGUAGGCGGCUUUGUAAGUUAGAGGUGAAAGCCCGGGGCUCAACUCCGGAAUUGCCUUUAAGACUGCAUCGCUAGAAUUGUGGAGAGGUAAGUGGAAUUCCGAGUGUAGAGGUGAAAUUCGUAGAUAUUCGGAAGAACACCAGUGGCGAAGGCGACUUACUGGACACAUAUUGACGCUGAGGUGCGAAAGCGUGGGGAGCAAACAGG